rfam:Dendroctonus ponderosae Seq01001634, whole genome shotgun sequence.
AUAAAACAAACAUGGAAUCUACCCUAUAUAACCUUGACGUAAUGCUUCACGGCGGUUCCCAAGGUUCAAAACAAAAGGGGGAAUUUUUUAGUCGGUAGGCUCGUCUGAAUCCGACACUGCCCGGCCGAUAGAAUAACAGGCCGGGGCGUCUUUCGAAGAUUUUUUACCCCUA